rnacentral:lncRNA from 1 species
AGAGAACGAUGGUGACCAUAGCAACAGUGACCAUAGCAACAAAGAUCACAGUCAUGAUGAUUCCAGUCAAGGUGAUAUUAAGGUGGCUGGUUAUCUAAAUCUUGCUGCUGAUUUUACACACAACUUCACUGAUGGACUAGCAAUUGGCGCUUCAUUCCUUGUCAAUAAAAACCUGGGUUUAAUAACAACCAUUACAAUCCUCUUACAUGAAGUACCUCAUGAAAUUGGAGAUUUUGCAAUCCUUAUUCAAUCUGGGUGCUCAAAACGCAAAG